UCCGGGAAGCCGCGACGGAGUCGGCAGCGUGACUUUGGAUCACGUGCUCGCAGGUUCGAGUCCUGCUCCCGGAGC
rnacentral:tRNA from 1 species